AUAGGCACUAAAAGCACUAUUAACUUAUUCUAUCCCAUUAUCUAUUCUGAAAAUUUUAACCCUUGCAUCAAAUUGAGUGCAAAUCAUUUUAUGAAAUUGUUGGUACAGAAAACACCUCUCUUUGUCUUCAUCAAAUAAACCCAAGUUAACCUAGUACAACAAUAAAUGAAAGUGAUAGACCAUCUAUAUUUAGAUAAAGACAGUUUGGGUGAUUUCCCAUACAUCAGAAUGAA
rnacentral:misc_RNA from 1 species